rnacentral:tRNA from 1 species
GGGUUUAAUAAUAGAAUGGUUUCUAUUUAUAUCAAGCGAAGAUAUAAUUCAUUUUAAUGAAUAAGGUUCAAUUCCUUUUAAAUCCA